rnacentral:rRNA from 1 species
ACGCACGCUGGCGGCGUGCUUAACACAUGCCAGUCGAACGGAAAGGCCUCUUUCGUGGGGUACUCGAGUGGCGAACGGGUGAGUAACACGUGAGUAACCUGCCCUUGACUUUGGGAUAACUUCAGGAAACUGGGGCUCAUACCGGAUAGGAUCUCCUGCUGCAUGUUUGGGGUUGGAAAGUUUCGGCGGUUGGGGAUGGACUCGCGGCUUAUCAGCUUGUUGGUGGGGUAGUGGCUUACCAAGGCUUUGACGGGUAGCCGGCCUGAGAGGGUGACAGGCCACAUUGGGACUGAGAUACGGCCCAGACGCCUACGGGAGGAAGCAGUGGGGAAUAUUGCAAAAUGGGUGGAAGCCUGAUGCAGCAACGCCGUGUGCGGGAUGACGGCCUUCGGGUUGUAAACCGCUUUCGCUCAUGACGAAGCUUUGUGUGACGGUAGUGGGUAAAGAAGCACCGGCUAACUACGUG